AGCGAACGCUGGCGGCAGGCCUAACACAUGCAAGUCGAACGAACCUUUCGGGGUUAUUGGCGGACGGGUGAGUAACACGUGGGAACGUGCCUUUAGGUUCGGAAUAACUCAGGGAAACUUGUGCUAAUACCGAAUGUGCCCUUCGGGGGAAAGAUUUAUCGCCUUUAGAGCGGCCCGCGUCUGAUUAGCUAGUUGGUUGAGGUAAUGGCUCACCAAGGCGACGAUCAGUAGCUGGUCUGAGAGGAUGAUCAGCCACAUUGGGACUGAGACACGGCCCAAACUCCUACGGGAGGCAGCAGUGGGGAAUCUUGCGCAAUGGGCGAAAGCCUGACGCAGCCAGGCCGCGUGAAUGAUGAAGGUCUUAGGAUUGUAAAAUUCUUUCACCGGGGACGAUAAUGACGGUACCCGGAGAAGAAGCCCCGGCUAACUUCGUG
rnacentral:rRNA from 1 species